AUGGCGGACCAAAAGAAACCGACAGACCAGCACAACAAGAGGCAGCGGGUUUCCGAGAACGCCGAGAGCAGCAACAAGAAGUUCAGCAUCAAGGAGGUAGUUGGUUCGGGGGUCGCGGGGACGCGGCCGUUGGCAUCGCCGAGUCCAGUUGCCAGGGCCAAGCCAAUCGCGGUGGUGAAGCCAACGGCCGCUACGGUGGCAGUAACCGGUCCAGUGGCCACCAUGGCACCGGCAUCGGCGGAGCCCAGUCCGGUUGCCAAGGCGAAGCCAACGGCCGCUACGGUGACAGUAACCGGUCCCGUGGCCACUAUGGCACCGGCACCGGCCGCGCCCGGUCCGGUUGCCAUGAAGACGCCCACGCCGGCGGCGCCCAGUCCAGUGGUCACCAUGGCACCGGCACCGGCGCCGGCAGCGCCCAGUCCAGUGGCCACCAUGACACCGGCACAGGAGGCGCCCAGUCCGGUGGCUACACAGACUCCGGCGCCGGCGGAGCCCAGUGCAGUGUCCACGAAGAUGCCGGCGCUGGCGGCUCCCAGCCCAGUUGCUAUGGCGACGCCGGUGGCCGUGGUGAACCCACCCGCCACGGUGAAGCAUGAGCUGGAAGACGGAGGGGUGCUCGUAAUCGACGAACAAGUAGCAAGAGCCAUGGUAGCCGCGGCACCUGCGGAAGAGGAGUCCGUCAUCUUAGAGGUGAAGAAGAAAUGGCUUCACUGCGCUGCGUGUCCUGCGCCCCUCAAGCGUCCCGUAUUCAUGUGCGGGAAUGGACAUGUCGUGUGCUGCUCCUGCGGCGGCGGCGGCAAUGGCGACGGCGGAGCGAACAAGCACUGUGAUUUGUGCGGCCGCGCCACCACCUACACCCGCAUCCCCUACAUCGAUGGCCUGGUCGGCGACUACAAGGUGCAGUGCCCCUACAGGAUUUUCGGCUGCGCGAGGUCCAUCACCUACCACUCGGCCGCGGACCACCCUGCCAAGUGCGCGUACGCGCCCUGCUACUGCUUCGAGUGCGCGUUCCAGGGUUCCCCGGCAAGCCUCCUGCGCCACCUCACGGAGGAGUCCGGCCGGCAUUGUUGGCCCAUGGAAAAGAUUAAGUACGAGAUCUGCCGCCCGCUCGUCGUGCCGGGGUCGGAGCACCGCCUUCUGCUAGUGGCGGAGGAGGACGGCCGAGUGUUUCUCCUGGCCGUUGGCGCGGGGAGGGGCGCCGCCGGCGUCCGCCCCGUCAACAUCGUGUGCGUCAGGGGCAAUGUCGACGCCGACGCGAGGCCGGUGUACACAGGUGUGCUCUGGGUGGAUGGCCCUCCGGCCGCCGCAGGCCACUUCAGGAGCAGCUUCCAGCUGAAAGGCGACGUGGCGAACUGCGGAGUCCCCGGCGAGGUGGACAUGGAGCACGGGCGCCUCCAUGCGCAUGUCAAUCCGGAGAUGCUGCACGGGGAGUCUAAAGAGAUUCAUCUGCGCAUUUGCAUUACCAAGUUCUGGUGA
rnacentral:rRNA from 1 species